ACCUACUGUUUAAUUUUGAGGGUUCGUUUUUACGAAUACUCAAAAUUAGCACUUUAAGCAACGGGAUUUAUCCGUUGGCGCCGUGCUUUAGCACUUUUAGCAACAGAAUAAACUGAACGCAUGUGAAGUUUGUUUGUUGGCGCUGUGCAUUAGCACUUUAAGCAACGGAAUUUAUUCGUUGGCGCUGUGCGUUAGCACUUUGAAAACUGCAUAUAUAUAUUUAGUGAUAUGACAUCUAAUUUGUAAUAUAUAAAGCUGAUAACUUUUUAAAAUUAUCGAAGUUGAUAGCUUCUAAUCUAUCAAACCUUUUUAACUGGUCAA
rnacentral:misc_RNA from 1 species